rnacentral:rRNA from 1 species
AUGGCUCUUUGAAAAUAUAGAAUAAAGAGUCUAGCCUGCCCAGUGGUUAAUUUAACGGCCGCGGUACUCUGACCGUGCGAAGGUAGCAUAAUCAUUUGUCUUAUAAUUGAAGUCUGGAAUGAAUGGUUUGACAAGGGCGAAACUGUCUCUAUUAAUAGGAUAAAAUUUUAUGAUUAAGUUAAAAAGCUUAAAUAUAAUUAAAAGACGAGAAGACCCUAUCGAGUUUAAGGAAAAUAAUUAAAAUUUUUAACAUUAAUGAAUAUUAAACAUUUAAUAAAACUUUAGUUGGGGCGAUUCAGGAACAAAUAAAGCUUCUUGUAAUUAAAAUCUAUUGGUAAAUAUACGAUCCAUAAUUUGUGAUUAAAAGAAUUAAUUACCGUAGGGAUAACAGCAUUAUCUUUUUUGAGAGCUCAUAUCGAAAAAAAUGUUUGUGACCUCGAUGUUGGACCAAGAUAACCUAAAGAUGUAGAAGUCUUUAAAGGUUGGUCUGUUCGACCAUUAAAAUCUUACGUGAUCUGAGUUCAGACCGG